rnacentral:lncRNA from 1 species
GGAGAGUACAUCACUGAAUAUGAGAGCCAGGGGGCAGUGCCAAACACGCGGCACCAGGAGAAGGAAGACAUCAUCAGGCUGGCCCAGAAGGAGGAGGAGAUGAAGGUUUUGGAUUUCAUCACGGUUCAAUCUUGGCAGGCUGGAUGUGUCUACAAAUUUAUCCAUUUUUACUGCUGUUCAUUCUUUUUGACUGCUUGUGACAACACCAGAAGAUAGAGAUCCUGAGAUCUUUUAAGAACUGCUGCUGGGAAUGUACACUGAUCUGACCACUUUGGAAAACAGUUCGGCUCCAUCUCAUAAGGUUGAAUAUUCACACUCCUCCCAGCCCAGGAAUUCUACUCUACAUCCAAGAGAAAUUCUUGCCUAUAUAAAACAGGGGGCAUGUACAAGGAAUGUUCCUAAUAGUUCUGUUCAAAAUAGCAAAAACCUAUUGCCCAUCAAUAGUGGGUGACUAAAUUGUGCUUUUUAUUCCUUUCGAUUUCCUGUAGUCUUAUCAUGCAAGUGGCUUUCCUUGUCUCAUUCCUGAUUUUAGGGGAAGGCA